ACCAGGUGUAUCAAGUAGCGUGCAGUUGAUUGGUGGGCGGGGCAAAUGGCUUUAUAGCUGAGCAGGCCACUGCGAGGUGUGUGUCUUUGUUUCCCCUACUACAUGACGGCUGCCCAAGUGGCUGGUGUGCUUGAUCCGCUCAUCUGAAUUCGUUUCUCGGCUGGCGUUAGCGGCUGCAGCUGGAGGUUGUUGCGGCGUGCGGCUUCCAUCUAGCCCUCGCUUGCUGAUCCGCUCUCUCCCUGGGUCGGCUGUGCUACUACUCCUGGGAUUGUUUGGGAGUUGCAGCGCUUGGACGCUCUGCUGUCUUGUCUUGUCGGUGUUUGUUUGGGCCGCUCUGAAGGCAACCUGUUGCUGAUUGGACAGGCUGAGCGAGCGGGGCACGACUCCUCUGGCCCAUUUGAAGGGCACUGAAAUUGGACAACGACGAUUUGUUCCACCGUUUAAAGUGUUUGUGUUUUUUCUUUUACAGUUUGCUUAUUAUUGAACUUACUAAUGAGUCUGUUUUUUUUGUUUUGAUUUACUAAUUUGUUUUCUUUGGCAUUACAUGUUUUGUUUGUUCGUUUAUUUUUUUGGAAUAAUUCAAAUUGUCACUUUUAUUUCACAUGAUCCUUUUUCAUUUCCAGGGACAGAGUAGUGGGCCCGAAGCCAUGCUUUUAAAAAGAAAUGUUUUAAAUGAAAUUGUUUAAAUAAAAUAUUGUGAACUA